GAGAGAGAGAGAGAGAGAGAUUAGGAAAUCAUGCCCUUGAACAAACUGUCAAACUGUGAUUUUAUUCCAUAAGCUUUGAGACAUUAUAGGAAAAGAGAAAUUCUAGAAAAGAUCUUUUGUAUUUUUGCCUAACAAAUGCAUAAUUUGUAUUUUCUUUUUGGAAAUUAUAGCUGUGCACCAAGGUUAAUGAUAGGAUAAAUAGGAUUGUAGAUUAUGCUAAAGAAUGUACGAGGCAGAACUGUUCGAAAAGUUAAAAGAGCACACAGUGGUGGCUCUUUCUUCCCAAACCUCAUUGGGCAAUGUGCCAAGUUAAAUUGAAUAUUAAUAUGGAUUAUGUAUUACUAAGCUAGUAGCGUGAAGGAAUGCCUUUUAGUGAUCUUAUGAUGUGAUAUGCUGUGUUUGGCUUUCAUUUGAAAUCUGGAGAACUUGCAACAUUGCAUGCCCAUAUGGACUGACCCUGUUCUGAUAUUUGUCCUACUUUGAUUGACAACAUUAUGCUGCUUAACUCAAAAUCAGGUGUUUGCUUAAUGUUCUGUACAUUUGUUUUUGCAGACUUGGUUGCAAUUGCUGAACGGAUGGCUACAGUGAAGCAUAAAAUAUUGAUUUUAUCAGGUAAAGGUGGAGUUGGCAAGAGUACAUUUUCUGCCCAACUCUCAUUUGCACUAGCGUCUAUGGACUUUCAGGUUGGUCUCUUGGACAUUGAUAUUUGUGGACCAAGCAUUCCUAAGAUGCUUGGCCUAGAAGGUCAAGACAUUCACCAGAGUAACCUUGGGUGGUCUCCUGUGUAUGUUGAGUCAAACCUUGGGGUUAUGUCAAUUGGGUUCAUGCUCCCUAACCCUGAUGAAGCUGUUAUAUGGAGGGGCCCCCGCAAGAAUGGGCUUAUAAAGCAAUUUCUAAAGGAUGUGUACUGGGGAGAGCUUGAUUUUCUAGUGGUUGAUGCCCCACCCGGGACCUCAGAUGAGCAUAUCUCAAUUGUCCAGUUCCUUCAGGCUACUGGAAUAGAUGGUGCAAUUAUUGUCACUACUCCACAACAGGUCUCUCUAAUUGAUGUGCGUAAAGAAGUGAGUUUCUGUAAGAAAGUUGGAGUGGAGGUCCUUGGGGUUGUCGAGAAUAUGAGUGGCUUGUGUCAACCAUUGACAGAUUUCAGGUUUAUGAAGUUGACUGAGACUGGUGAACAACAAGACGUCACAGAAAAGGUUUUGGAAUAUAUGAGAGAGAAAGCUCCAGAGAUGCUAGGCUUGAUUGCUUCUAGUGAGGUAUUUGAUAGCAGUGGUGGUGGUGCAGCACCAAUGUGCAGAGAGAUGGGUGUGCCUUUUCUUGGGAAGGUACCAUUGGAUCCACAGCUUUGCAAGGCAGCUGAAGAAGGGAGGUCCUGCUUUGCUGAUCAGAACUGUGGAGUAAGCGCUCCUGCACUGAAGAAUAUUAUUGAAAAAUUACUGGCGGCAAAACAGUGGAAUUAGAAAAUGCAGUCUGCAGCAGAUUAGCAAAAGAUGACUCAUAAAUUAUUAUCUAUACCAUUUUAUGGAUCAGU
rnacentral:misc_RNA from 1 species